rnacentral:tRNA from 1 species
GCUCCUAUAGCUCAGAGGAUAGAGCGCUGGCCUCCGAAGCCAGAAGCCCAGGUUCGAGUCCUGGUAGGAGCA